UACGUAGGGGGCAAGCGUUGUCCGGAUUUAUUGGGCGUAAAGAGCGUGUAGGCGGCCAGUCAGGUCCGUUGUGAAAACUCGAGGCUCAACCUCGAGACGCCGAUGGAAACCGACUGGCUAGAGUCCGGAAGAGGAGAGUGGAAUUCCCGGUGUAGCGGUGAAAUGCGCAGAUAUCAGGAGGAACACCGAUGGCGAAGGCAGCUCGCUGGGACGUGACCGACGCUGAGACGCGAAAGCGUGGGGAGCAAACAGG
rnacentral:rRNA from 1 species